UGAACGCUAGCGACAGGCUUAACACAUGCAAGUCGAGGGGCAGCACAGGUAGCAAUACCGGGUGGCGACCGGCGCACGGGUGAGUAACGCGUAUGCAACUUGCCUAUCAGAGGGGGAUAACCCGGCGAAAGUCGGACUAAUACCGCAUGAAGCAGGGGCCCCGCAUGGGGAUAUUUGCUAAAGAUUCAUCGCUGAUAGAUAGGCAUGCGUUCCAUUAGGCAGUUGGCGGGGUAACGGCCCACCAAACCGACGAUGGAUAGGGGUUCUGAGAGGAAGGUCCCCCACAUUGGUACUGAGACACGGACCAAACUCCUACGGGAGGCAGCAGUGAGGAAUAUUGGUCAAUGGGCGUAAGCCUGAACCAGCCAAGUCGCGUGAGGGAUGAAGGUUCUAUGGAUCGUAAACCUCUUUUAUAAGGGAAUAAAGUGCGGGACGUGUCCCGUUUUGUAUGUACCUUAUGAAUAAGGAUCGGCUAACUCCGUGCCAGCAGCCGCGGUAAUACGGAGGAUCCGAGCGUUAUCCGGAUUUAUUGGGUUUAAAGGGUGCGUAGGCGGCCUUUUAAGUCAGCGGUGAAAGUCUGUGGCUCAACCAUAGAAUUGCCGUUGAAACUGGGGGGCUUGAGUAUGUUUGAGGCAGGCGGAAUGCGUGGUGUAGCGGUGAAAUGCAUAGAUAUCACGCAGAACCCCGAUUGCGAAGGCAGCCUGCCAAGCCAUUACUGACGCUGAUGCACGAAAGCGUGGGGAUCAAACAGGAUUAGAUACCCUGGUAGUCCACGCAGUAAACGAUGAUCACUAGCUGUUUGCGAUACACUGUAAGCGGCACAGCGAAAGCGUUAAGUGAUCCACCUGGGGAGUACGCCGGCAACGGUGAAACUCAAAGGAAUUGACGGGGGCCCGCACAAGCGGAGGAACAUGUGGUUUAAUUCGAUGAUACGCGAGGAACCUUACCCGGGUUUGAACGCAUUCGGACCGAGGUGGAAACACCUUUUCUAGCAAUAGCCGUUUGCGAGGUGCUGCAUGGUUGUCGUCAGCUCGUGCCGUGAGGUGUCGGCUUAAGUGCCAUAACGAGCGCAACCCUUGCCACUAGUUACUAACAGGUAAAGCUGAGGACUCUGGUGGGACUGCCAGCGUAAGCUGCGAGGAAGGCGGGGAUGACGUCAAAUCAGCACGGCCCUUACAUCCGGGGCGACACACGUGUUACAAUGGCGUGGACAAAGGGAAGCCACCUGGCGACAGGGAGCGAAUCCCCAAACCACGUCUCAGUUCGGAUCGGAGUCUGCAACCCGACUCCGUGAAGCUGGAUUCGCUAGUAAUCGCGCAUCAGCCAUGGCGCGGUGAAUACGUUCCCGGGCCUUGUACACACCGCCCGUCAAGCCAUGGGAGCCGGGGGUACCUGAAGUCCGUAACCGCGAGGAUCGGCCUAGGG
rnacentral:rRNA from 1 species